CUAUUACCUGGCAGGGGCGCGGGACCAUGAUCAAGAAGGUGCUUCACCCUGGGCGAGGUUCAGCCAUUGCAUUCAGGUUGUGCUGACCCCUGCAAAUCCCCCAAAUGUGGAAAUCUUGACUGCAUAAUUUCUGAUAGUGGGGGACUGUGUUUGUGAUCUUCCCUA